AUUCCGUCUCCACAGAACACUAGGUUGAAUUGAAUUGAAUUGAAUCAUGGAUAAGAGCAUGUUAGCUGGUUUGGAAUCACUUCCAGAAGCUGAUCAGCAAAGAAUGGCGUCCAUGAUGUAACAGGUUCAAAUCCGUGACAGUUACUGGUUCGGGUUCGGGUUCCGGUGAAGCCAAGCUUGCAGAUGGUUCAUAUUUAGCUGGUUUAGCCAUGGGAGACUCACCUAGGAUGACAGCUUCUGUUACAUAUGAUCACAAAGCAAUUGUUGUUAAUGGGCAGAGAAAGAUUCUGUUUUCUGGUUCUAUACACUACCCCAGAAGCAC